rnacentral:snoRNA from 14 species
AAUCAUGUGAUGAGAAAAUAAAAAAUAACUGCAACAAUAUGAUGGGAUUUAUUUCCAUGAUUCCUAUUAUUUAACUUUCUCUGAAAUUAACUUUUUUGAUU